UUACUACUCCCUCCGUUCAACAAAAGAUGUCUCAAGUUUGUCAAAAUUUGGAUGUAUUUAGACUUGUCUUAGUGUAUAGAUGCAUUCAAAUUUAAUCAAAGUUGAGACAUCCUUUGUUGGACGGAGGGAAUACAUU
rfam:Brachypodium distachyon strain Bd21 chromosome 3, whole genome shotgun sequence.